rnacentral:rRNA from 1 species
AUUGAACGCUGGCGGCAUGCCUAACACAUGCAAGUCGAACGAGUGGCCGACGGGUGAGUAAUGUCUGUGACCCUGCCCCAUGUAUGGGGAUAACUCUUGAAAACGGGACCUAUUCCCGCAUUCCAUCGGCUGUGCCCCGAUGGGAUUGGCGAGGAGGUGGGGUAACGGCUCACCUAGGCGACGAUCCGUCGCGGGUCUGAGAGGAUGACCAGCCACACUGGAACUGAGACGCGGACCAGAGGCCUGCGGGAGGGAGCAGUGUCGAAUAUUGCACAAUGGGCGCAAGCCUUAUGCAGCCAUGGCGAGUGUAUGAAGAAGGCCUUCGGGUUGUAAAGUACUUCCAGCGAGUAGGCGUUACUCGCAGAAGAAGCAUCGGCUAACUCCGUGCCAGCAGCCGCGGUAAUUC